UACGGGGGGGGCAAGCGUUGUUCGGAAUUACUGGGCGGAAAGGGCUCGUAGGUGGCCAACUAAGUCAGACGUGAAAUCCCUCGGCUUAACCGGGGAACUGCGUCUGAUACUGGAUGGCUUGAGGUUGGGAGAGGGAUGCGGAAUUCCAGGUGUAGCGGUGGAAUGCGCAGAUAUCAGGAGGAACACCGGUGGCGAAGGCGGGUCUCUGGGCAGUAACUGACGCUGAGGAGCGAAAGCGUGGGGAGCGAACAGG
rnacentral:rRNA from 1 species